AUCACCUGAUUUGAAAGUGGGAUAACUUCUUCAUGCCAACUCCUAUGAGAUUUAUUAAACUUCCUGGUGAUUCUCCACCACUUUUUGUACCCAAAUCAAGCUUUCCACAAAGUGAUUCAUCCUGGUUUGAUUGGAACGAUGAAGAAGCUGUGCUAUUCCCAAACUGGGAAACUGGAAUCACAUGAUUUUAAAGUGGGAUAACUUCUUCAUGCCAACUCCUAUGAGAUUUAUUAAACUUCCUGGUGAUUCUCCACCACUUUUUGUACCCAAAUCAAGCUUUCCACAAAGUGAUUCAUCCUGGUUUGAUUGGAACGAUGAAGAAGCUGUGCUAUUCCCAAACUGGGAAACUGGAAUCACGUUUUUUGAAAGUGGGAUAACUUCUUCAUCCCAACUCCUAUGGGUUUAUUAAACUUCCUGGUGAUUCUCCACCACUUUAUGUAUCCAAAUCAAGCUUUUCACAAAGUGAUUCAUCCUGGUUUGAUUGGAACGAUGAAGAAGCUGUGCUAUUCCCAAACUUGAAAGCUGGAAUCACCUGAUUUGAAAGUGGGAUAACUUCUUCGUGCCAACUCUUAUGAGAUUUAUUCAACUUCUUGGUGAUUCUCCACCACUUUAUGUAUCUAAAUCAAGCUUCUUACAAAGAGAUUCAUCAUGGUUUGAUUGGAACGACGAAGAAGCUGUGCAAUUCUCAAACUGGGAAACUGGAAUCACCUAAUUUGAAAGUGGGAUAACUUCUUCAUGCCAACUCCUAUGAGAUUUAUUCAACUUCCUGGUGAUUCUCCACCACUUUAUGUAUCCAAAUCAAGCUUUUCACAAAGUGAUUCAUCCUGGUUUGAUUGGAACGACGAAGAAGCUGUGCUAUUCCCAAACUGGGAAACUGGAAUCACCUGAUUUGAAAGUGGGAUAACUUCUUCUUGCCAACUCCUAUGAGAUUUAUUCAACUUCCUGGUGAUUUUCCACCACUUUAUGUAUCCAAAUCAAGCUUCUUACAAAGAUAUUCAUCCUGUUUUGAUUGGAACGACGAAUAAGCUGUGCUAUUCCCAAAUUGGGAAACUGGAAUCACCUGAUUUGAAAGUGGGAUAACUUCUUCAUGCCAACUCCUAUGAAAUUUAUUCAACUUCCAGGUGAUUCUCCACCACUUUAUGUAUCCAAAUCAAGCUUUUCACAAAGUGAUUCAUCCUGGUUUGAUUGGAACGACGAAGAAGCUGUGCUAUUCCCAAACUGGGAAACUGGAAUCACCUGAUUUGAAAGUGGGAUAACUUCUUCUUGCCAACUCCUAUGAGAUUUAUUCAACUUCCUGGUGAUUCUCCACCACUUUAUGUAUCCAAAUCAAGCUUCUUACAAAGUGAUUCAUCCUGGUUUGAUUGGAACGACGAAGAAGCUGUGCUAUUCCCAAACUGUGAAACUGGAAUCACCUGAUUU
rnacentral:lncRNA from 1 species